GAAGAAACAAUCUCAACUUGGAUGGCCUGACGAUGCUGAGACAAACACCUUUGGAAUGCCUCUGGGGCUGAUGAGAUCCCAAACGGAGGCCGUGAAAGCUGUACCUCCCUAAGGGGCCACUGGAACUUUCCUGGGAGGAUGAAUCACUGGCUUUGUCCAAAUGUGAUGGACUCCCGUUACACAACCCAG